ensembl:lncRNA
GAAGGAAAGAAAGAAGGAAGGAAGGAAGGAAUGAAGGAAGGAAGGAAGGAAAGAAAGAAAGAAAGAAGGAAGGAAAGGUUAUGACAGGAAAAUAUCUUUUUUCGGGGUUUUUGUGGUGGUUGUUGUUUCCUGCUUUGCUUAGCAGGCAAGCUGUGUGUGGCUGUGUCUUAUCGGUUCAUGGACAGUACAAACACAUAAAUCCUUUCGACAAAAGUAAGAGGGAGAUUAAUUCUGCAUUGAAAUGGGUAAUACUUUAAUGAGCAGAAGAUGGCCUUUUUUUCCCACCAGGACCCAUCUCACAGACACACCAAAUGCCCCAUGCUCACAGCUCCCAGUCCACUCUUUGCUUUUGCUUUCACACGAUUAAACAAUUACUGAUUCCAUAGUUAUAAAAUGCUUCUGUAUGCCAAUACCCUCUGCUUUAGCCUUCGUUCAGCAGAAGCAUAAAGAUAGAUGACAAAUGAUUUGACAUCAAACUGUUUUGACUGCAGUAUUUAGGGGGGGAAAAAAUGGUAUAUAGGCACUGCAAGGGUCUGCAGCUGCCUCUGACAAGCUGCUGUAGCAGCUUCUGGAUCUCCAGCUUCACAGCGCUAAUCGAUACAAAUGACUCCGGGGAAGAAGCUCAUCUGCAUUACUCAUCAUCUGUGCGUUCCAGUGAUGGCAUGGCAGGAAUGAAACCAGCUAAGAUGAAACUGCCUGAUGAUCAAUAAGGACACUUCAUGUGUGUGUAAAAGGAGAAGACUGGCAUGAACCCUGCAGAACUCGCUCGGCAACAGCCACACAUUCUGUCAUCCACUCUAAGAUUUUCUAAACCUAUGUUGCUCCAGUGAUAAGAGUCUUGCUGCAGUGAGCCAGUCAUUUGCCUACCAAGUGCUUAUUGGCUAUCACCUGACUGCUUUUUUGUUAUUAAAAAAAGAAAGAUGCCUUCUUCCCUGAGGAUUUUGUUUUUAGAGAAGGUGGCAGCUGGAGCUGCUAACCCUUUAUGUAUCUACAGAGAACUGCAGAGGCAGGAAUUGCUUCCUCCACUGCACAAUAUUAGUAUGUCUCAGUUGGGAAAUGAAAGAAAAAAGCAGCUGCAAUUCCUUGGGAACACUGAAAUCUGGGAAAAGUGCAUUAUUUGUCUAUUUUUUUUUCUUCCAAGAACUGAUCCCAGCUUCAUGCAGUGUAGAACAGAACAUCAAUGAGCAGCAGCCAAAUUAAUCUACAAACAACAGCAGUGAUGACAACAGCCCUUGAAGAAGCUACUUGAAGGAUUUGUUUGCAUGGAUAAAUCAGUGUUUCUUCCAUGUCUUCACCACUCCUUACUUAAGUUGGUCUGGCUGACUACCUUUGAGUGAGUACCAACAGUAAUUCAGAGUGAGACAGUUUUAAUGUAUUUCUUCAGUGAGAUGAAAAACACAAACCACCAGACCAUGGAUACAGUUACAUGUGUAGAAAAAUCAUCUAUCUGAACAGUUUGUCUGUGGGGAAAGAAGAAUAUAUGUAGAGGUUGUUUGUCUUUGCAAAUUGUUUGGUGGAUUGUGCUGAAGUGAAUACAUUAGUAGAUAUGAAACUGUUCUUUGACAGUCUGUUCAAGGCGGCAUGAAAACCUCACCCAUCCUGACAGAUUUUGUGAAGAAGCAAGGGCAAUGUGCAGAACUCCUCAUGGAGAAUACCACCACUAAAAUUACAUGCUGGAGCAUUGUUGCUGGGACAGAUAGCUGAAAGUGUUACGGAGGAAAAAAAAAAAAAAAAAGACUGGGAUAGAUUUUGGAGAGCAAUGGCCUUGGCAGACAAUAUGCAAAUACCGUAGUGAUGGACAUAUCACUACAGUGAAUCCUAGGGAACAACUGCUGUAAUUCAAGUACAGCAAAUCACACAGCUCAGAUAAGACUCAUCCAAGAGUGCCAGAGGAAAUAAAGUGUGAAAUAGCAGAAACACCGAUGAGGAAGCUGAAUAUAGGGGCCUGUAAACAUAGAGCAAAAAAGAAGCUAGUUUGUGCACUGUGUAUUCCACCUGUAGAAUUUACUGCCAGACUGGAGUCAUUGAAUGAAACCCAGACACAAGGCAAAAAGGAUUGGUUCAUGCAGUGACUUGAUGAUAAUCAUGGUUAUUCAUGUGAUAGACAUUCUGCUUUCCAUUUUUGCUACACAGAGACUUAAGGGGGAGGAAAGGUUAGAAAAAGUGUCACAUUCUUCAGCCAACUGUAGUAUUACCAAUGGAUACAUUAUAAGGUUUACCAUUCUCUGGAGGUUCAAGACUGGCCAUUCCCCAGGGCCAAAGACUAUUUCUGAAUGAGUAGACUUGUCUGUUGAAGCAGAUUGCUUUAGAGGGUAUUUGUCUAUGAAGCCUCUGGUCCAUGAUCAGCGUCUUCAUCAGAUUUACCACAAGAAACAUAUUUCAGUGACAGAGUCUGCUGAUUGUUACGUUGACUCUGUGUUUGGUGGCAAAUGUAUUCAAGGACUUACAUCUUGUAUCUCUGUUGCACAAUGCUUGAGUGUCUCUCAACUGCAGGGUCAUGACUGUAGAGUUAGAGUACGAGGACACUAACAGCUAUGGGAUAGCGUCUGCAUCUGAGGCUCUCAUGGCCACAAACAGGUUUCUUUACUGAGGGAAGAAGAGUAGGGAGGAUUGCAUCAUUUGUAAAGGAGCUUCUUGACAGUACAGAGCACUGAUAUGAAAUUGGAAACUUGUCUUUUGGUGGUCUUUGGAUCAAGAUCAGUUAACCUUGGAGAUAUUAUGUAAUGGAUAUGCUACAAUCUGCUCACCGAAAGUAUGAGAUAAACAAGGCUUACUGCAAGUAACAAGUGGAAAUCUCCCAGCUGUAGCUUACCUUUUUCAAAGGGAGCUUAAUAUCCACACAUUGUCUAGGAGGUCAGCAUGGUACUGUGCAAGCAGCUGAGAUAGUUCCUUGAUUGCAUUGCUGGUGACAUCCCUAAACUAAUGCUUGACAGGCCAACCAGGACAGGUUCACAGAAAGUGAGCCAGAAUUACUGGUAAAAGUGACUCUAAGCUAAUGGCUGUGGAUACAGUGACCAGGAGAUGAUUGAGCUCAGGAUGGGGAGGAAAGAUGGGAAAGCAGCAGAGUUAGGUCUUUGGAAUAAAAGACAGUAGGAAGUUGCUAGGAGGGUGGUUGGUUUUUUUAAAAAAAUAAUAUAUAUUAGCUCAAUAUAAUAUAUAUAAUUAUAUAUAUAAAUAAAUAUAUAUAAUAAUAUACAUAAUACAUAUAAAGCUCAAGCACAAGCUAUCCAACUGUGAUGGCUAAUCACAAACUGGCUAUUUCAUGAGAAGAUACCCUUGACUAAGCCAGGAACUUAUUUGCAAACUAAAAAAAAAAAAAAAAAAAAAAGCAAGAAGUGGAAACCAGCAAAAGCAACAAAGGAGAAUUCUAUUGAGGAAAAAUUUGGAAAAAACUUGUCAGAUGUCUCAAUCACUUGCUUGCUAGGGAGAAGGCCAAAGCUCAGGUGGAGAUAAACCCAAGUCUAGUCUAGAAGAUGACAACUUCAGUAGAUAUGCUAGUAGUAAGAGGAAGUUUAGAGAAAACAAGGAGCUGUUGUUGAGUGGAGAAGACAAUCUAGUCCAUAGUAAUCGAUAAUUCAUUAUCUGGUAUGCAUUUUGGAACAAACACAAAAGAGGUUUACAUUGUUCAGUAAUUUCAUCAUAAUUUACUUGGAUGCUAAGAACACUACUGGUGGAUGAUACUAAAUUAGAAAGAGGUGUUAUUAAGCUGUAAAGUAAAACCUCAAUCCAGGUGCACUUCAAGAAAUGUAAAUUAUGCACGUGGGAAUAAAAACCUUAUUCAGGCACAAAUGCAGGCUGAAACUGACAAGAUGACUAGCAGUGUUCAUGUAAAUGCCUGUAGCUAGUAGUGAAUACCAAGGCAAAUAUGUCUCGUUUUGGGUUCCACAUCAAGAGGGGUAAGGAGAAAGAAUGUCAGAGGGCUACCAAGAUAGUUUGAAGCCUAGAGCACAUGACCUUCAAGAAGUUGAGAGAUCUAGACUUGUUCAGUGUGAAGUGAAAGUUAUCUGAUAGCAACUUAGAACAACUGGAAGGGAAUUUAUGAUUUGAUGGAGCCAAACCCUUUCAUUUGAAGAACAUAAAAUGAAAAGAAGCAGUGACCAUUUACUGUAGUUUGGGAGAUUCACAUUAAACAUUUUGGAAAAAUUCCUCGCAAAGUACAGGAUUUUAGCAAUGGAAGAAUGAGGGACUGCAGGAUCUCUACUGUUGGAGGUUUUCAUGACCUGUCUAGGCAAGGUCAUGUCAGGCCUGAUCUACAGCUAGUGAUGGUUUUGCUUCAGGGCAAAGGCUGAACUAUACAGUUUCCAGAGGAAUCUUCCAACACUCUAUGAAUCAAAGAGUAACUCAAGAUUAAAUGCAUUGUUUUCUUCAUACACAGCAUGUGUCUGAUUUCCACUGCAUCAAAAUAGACUUGUUUAGAUAAAAUUCAGGAGCUGCUCUCAGACUGUUCUUUUAUAUCUCCUUUGCCUUAAGAGUGCCAAGGGAAUUAUGCUUCUGUAACUUGGCAGGAGACCUAUAGCUUAGGAUAAAACCUAUUUUCAUGCUGUUUUGUCUUAUAUCACCUUUGGCAAGAAGGAGAGCAUAUUUUGCUUUGCAAUGUCACUUUAUUUGAGAGGAUCCUCUUGAGUUAGUAGCAGCCGCGAAGGUCAAGAGAUUAGAGAGGAAAACUAAUUGCAUGCUAUAAACAAACCAAAUGUACUUCAUUCUGCACUAGGGUUUUUAUCAGCUCUUGUUUUAUCAGAAAUCAAUCCGUCCCUUCACAGUUUACUCGUUCAUAGGAUAACAAAUUAGAGUUUGCAGUAGUAAAUAUGGAAACUAUAGCUAUAAUUCAUCAGUUCUUUUAUCUCUGAUAAGCUUGCAUUAUUCACAAUAGAAGGUCCAUCUCUCAUUUUACCAGGGAAUGUGACAUUUGUUUCUUCAUUUAUAAACCAUUUAUACAGAUAAACUCACAGAGCAGAGUCCACAAACAUACCUGAAGUAACUUCCCAGUACAAUUGAACUGAAUAGACUUGGUUGUUUAUAGCUUGCAAAGUUCUAUUUUGCCUAGAAACAAGUCUUCAAAACUUGGAAGCCCCCUUUUCUGGGUGUUAUAAUGUAACAAACCUUAGAACUAUAUUCUCCCUAUGUGAAUUGGUAUUACAGCCUUUGCCGUCAGUGCAUGAUUUCUUUGAGCUUCAGUCACAGAAACCCACAUGCAGCUAAAACACAGGCUUUAAACAGCUCUCUGCAGUCUUCUUUCAGAGUCAUCUAGGCUCAAAACACAAGUGGGAACGUGUGAUUAACACCCACCAAAAAAAAAAAAAAAAAAAAAAAAAAAAAGGAAAAGAAAAAGAAAAAAAAAGAAAAGAAAGGAAAGGAAAGAAAGAAAGAAAAAGAUCCAACUCAUCCUCCACACUCCACAAAAGGACUUCUCAGAAGAAUGUUGUUUACCCAGCAUCAUAGGAAGUGUCUGGUACGGAAGAAAUGUGGGAAAAAGUUCAUACACAUGCUUUAAGAAAUAUCCAGGAAAAGAAAAAAGAGAAACUAGAACAGAAAGGGGAAGACAGAGAAGGUCAUGAAACUCCAAAGGCAGACAUUUUCUGGGACUAAGCUCUGCGUGGCAUGAUGGUGGGGCAAGAUCUGGCAGUAGGAUACUACCUUCCCAUCUGACAGUGCUGUCAGAUGGGAUGCCCAGGCUUUCCUCCCCCCAGGUGCAGGCUCUUGCAGACCUACGUGCAAAGCACAGCCAUUUGCUAUGACAGAGGGAAGAGGAGAAGGAGGAUUUAGGAGAGGCCAGCACAGCUUCAGCUGCCUCCUCUGUGUCUCCCUCCAGUCCCCAGCUUGGCCAUGAGCCCUUAGACCUAGGUCAGAAGGAUGUACCAGCAACCAGGAGUUACUAACUGCAAGUAGUUUUACUGCUGAAUUUGUAGGAGAGAAAGAGAGAGAAAAUGUCUCUGAAGACCUAGUAUUCUGUUACUAUUCUUUUCUCACCUGUUUCAGAUGAGAAUCGUUUCAGUGAGACUGCUGAUUUCUUUGUUACUUCUUUCUGUCUCAUUUGAUGCCUGCUGCUGGUUUUUUUCUUCUAUCUGGAUAUCUUUUUUUUUCUAUUUGAGAUUAUUAAAAUGUAGUCCUUUCCUUCAGAGAGUAGCCCUUGCCCUGUCAUGAAAUAAAAUCAAAUUGAACGGAAAGGCUUUACUUGGAGUUUGGAGAGGAACUGAGCAGUUUUAACAAGAACAGACAUAAACACCCCCAGACUGCUUGUACUGCCAAUCUGAGCUACCUUAUUCAUGUUAAGAUAUUGAUGAUCUAUUUUCAAGGUGGGAUAUCUACUGCUUUGCAACUUUUGUAUAUGAAGUGUUUUUCUGUAAUUUAAAUACCUCUCAAAGACAACAUCACAUCAAGUUUUCUCACAUUUCUUACUAUCUAACUACCUACUUUUCCUUGCCAUUAAUGCAUCUGAAUAAAUGCCUUACACUAUUAAAUAAGUAUUUUUUUACAUCCUGUUAGAAGGGAGCAGAAAAAAAUCCUAGCUUUGUCAAUGUGUUGCUGCUGAUUUAGUGAGCGUACAUUUGCAAACCAGUAAAGCACACACAAUAUUUUCCUCCAGUCUCCUGCUUGCUCUCCAUUUCUGUUGACAGCAUGGAUAAUUCUGGACCUGCUAAUUCUCUGCUUGUGGUGCUUAAUGCUCUUGCCAGAGCACUCAUUACUAGAAAGAGUCUGAGGAUCAAACUCAUCCCUAGGGUAAUCCAGUGCAACACUGACUGAAGUCAAUAAGAGUUGUGCCUGCCUAUGCCAGAGCUGUAUUAAUCACUGAAACCAUCUCCAAUGCAUAGGUGCCUUGCUAUGUUUAUUCUGUCCCACCAUGCCCUGUACAUUAAGAAGAGAAUAAGAGACAAAAAGUUUAUGCUGUUCUAAUGUCUGCCAGUAACAAGACUGGAGAUUCACAGCAUCUGAAACCAAUCAGUGUAGCAAAGUGCUCUGCAGCUACACAAAGCACUCCAUUUUAACUUUGCAUCUAAUUGUGCAUUAUAGAGGAUCUUUCAAUAUGCUCUUCUAGGCUGCGCUAGCAAACUUAGUAAUAUGCACUCACUUGCUG